rnacentral:rRNA from 1 species
GGGGGCGCAUGCUUAACAUGCAAGUCGAACGGUAACAGGGAGCUUGCUCCGCUGACGAGUGGCGAACGGGUGAGUAAUACAUCGGAACGUGCCCAGUAAUGGGGGAUAGCUCGGCGAAAGCCGGAUUAAUACCGCAUACGCCCUGAGGGGGAAAGUGGGGGACCGCAAGGCCUCACGUUAUUGGAGCGGCCGAUGGCUGAUUAGCUAGUUGGUAGGGUAAAGGCCUACCAAGGCGACGAUCAGUAGCUGGUCUGAGAGGACGAUCAGCCACACUGGGACUGAGACACGGCCCAGACUCCUACGGGAGGCAGCAGUGGGGAAUUUUGGACAAUGGGGGAAACCCUGAUCCAGCAAUGCCGCGUGUGCGAAGAAGGCCUUCGGGUUGUAAAGCACUUUUGUCAGGGAAGAAAUCCUUUGGGCUAAUACCCUAGGGGGAUGACGGUACCUGAAGAAUAAGCACCGGCUAACUACGUGCCAGCAGCCGCGGUAAUACGUAGGGUGCAAGCGUUAAUCGGAAUUACUGGGCGUAAAGCGUGCGCAGGCGGUUGUGUAAGACAGGUGUGAAAUCCCCGGGCUUAACCUGGGAAUUGCAUUUGUGACUGCACGACUA